rnacentral:rRNA from 1 species
UACGAAGGGGGCUAGCGUUGUUCGGAAUUACUGGGCGUAAAGCGCGCGCAGGCGGUCUUCCAAGUCAGUGGUGAAAGCCCGGAGCUCAACUCCGGAACUGCCAUUGAAACUGCAAGACUUGAGGAUGAGAGAGGUGAGUGGAAUUCCCAGUGUAGAGGUGAAAUUCGUAGAUAUUGGGAAGAACACCGGUGGCGAAGGCGGCUCACUGGCUCAUAUCUGACGCUCAGGCGCGACAGCGUGGGGAUCAAACAGG